AAGACAAAAGUCACUUUUGAGCUGAAGAAAUUAGAGUUACAUCGUGGGCGUAACAUGUUAAUGUAAUCAUGUAACUGGUUACCAUUGAAAGAGAACUAAUUUUGUAUUACUUGUAAUCGGUUAUAAGUUUAGUGUAACCGGUUAUAGGCCCGAGUUUUAUGCUUUUUCAAUUAUUUGCUUAUGUGACAUAUAUUCCAAUCAUUAUGUAAUGUUUGUAUAAAUAUCUUGAAGACAUCCUCAUCAAUGUUAAUGAAAUAUUUUC
rnacentral:lncRNA from 1 species